rnacentral:rRNA from 1 species
UAGCAUAUCAAUAAGCGGAGGAAAAGAAACCAACCGGGAUUGCCUUAGUAACGGCGAGUGAAGCGGCAAAAGCUCAAAUUUGAAAUCUGGUACCUUUGGUGCCCGAGUUGUAAUUUGGAGAGGGCAACUUUGGGACCGUUCCUUGUCUAUGUUCCUUGGAACAGGACGUCAUAGAGGGUGAGAAUCCCGUGUGGCGAGGAGUGCGGUUCUAUGUAAAGUGCCUUCGAAGAGUCGAGUUGUUUGGGAAUGCAGCUCUAAGUGGGUGGUAAAUUCCAUCUAAAGCUAAAUAUUGGCGAGAGACCGAUAGCGAACAAGUACAGUGAUGGAAAGAUGAAAAGAACUUUGAAAAGAGAGUGAAAAAGUACGUGAAAUUGUUGAAAGGGAAGGGCAUUUGAUCAGACAUGGUGUUUUGCGCCCUCUGCUCCUUGUGGGUGGGGGAAUCUCGCAGUUCACUGGGCCAGCAUCAGUUUUGGUGGCAGGAUAAAUCCGUAGGAAUGUAACUUGCUUCGGGAAGUAUUAUAGCCUAUGGGAAUACUGCCAACUGGGACUGAGGACUGCGACGUAAGUCAAGGAUGCUGGCAUAAUGGUUAUAUGCCGCCCGUCUUGAAACACGGACCAAGGAGUCUAACGUCUAUGCAAGUGUUUGGGUGUAAAACCCAUACGCGUAAUGAAAGUGAACGUAGGUUGGGGCCUCGCAAGAGGUGCACAAUCGACCGAUCCUGAUGUCUUCGGAUGGAUUUGAGUAAGAGCAUAGCUGUUGGGACCCGAAAGAUGGUGAACUAUGCCUGAAUAGGGUGAAGCCAGAGGAAACUCUGGUGGAGGCUCGUAGCGGUUCUGACGUGCAAAUCGAUCGUCGAAUUUGGGUAUAGGGGCGAAAGACUAAUCGAACCAUCUAGUAGCUGGUUCCUGCGA